GUAAAAACAAUUUUAUAAUCACAGAAAUGAAGUGCUGAAAUAGUCACCCAGAAGUAAUGGGUGGUGAAAACUGGUUUCAAAAUGGACUAAAAAGUCUUAUUGCAGCUUUAUAGAAUGAUACUCAGUGAACCAAAGAGGUCUCAUCCAGUUCAGUUUCCCAGCUACUAAAAUGCAGGAUCUGGCAGUCAUCUGAAAUCUGUGCAUGCAUUGAACUGCUACCAAUUAAAAUAACUGUCACCUGUCUUUUCUUACCAGGACCAUCACCCUGAGGAACCCAGAAGAUUUAAACCACUCUUGCACUCCUGGUUAUCUGGAGAAGUCUCAGAGGACCAGAUGCUUGCCAACAUGACUCCCAUCUACAAGAAGGGCCGUAAGGAGGAUCUGGGGAACUACAGGCCUGUCAGCCUGACCUCAGUGCCAGGGAAAGUUAUGGAGCAAGUCAUCUUGGGAAGAUGCUCACUUGAGAAAUUUUUACUUCCUCCUAUGUUAAGGAAAAAUCUACACAAAUAAUGUGCCAUCUAUCUAACUCUGGAGAAACUUUAAGUGUCUUAAUUUGAAGAUAUGUUUCAUUGACAUCCAAAUGGGUUGGAUUUGCUGCUUUCCUCCUCAGCAAGAAGAUCAAUCGGUAAAGACAAGUACCUUAUAAGCAUGGCAUAAUCUAGUCUGAAGCUCAGAUUGUUCUUCUUUUGGUGAAUGUGUCAAGCUGGUGAAGAUCCCUGCCAUGAUCUGCAGCUGAGUUCCACCACA
ensembl:lncRNA